rnacentral:rRNA from 1 species
UACGUAGGUGGCAAGCGUUGUCCGGAAUUAUUGGGCGUAAAGCGCGCGCAGGUGGUUUCUUAAGUCUGAUGUGAAAGCCCACGGCUCAACCGUGGAGGGUCAUUGGAAACUGGGGAACUUGAGUGCAGAAGAGGAUAGUGGAAUUCCAAGUGUAGCGGUGAAAUGCGUAGAGAUUUGGAGGAACACCAGUGGCGAAGGCGGCGAUCUGGGAAGAUACUGACGCUGAGGUGCGAAAGCGUGGGGAGCAAACAGG